rnacentral:tRNA from 1 species
UGGCACAUAGCAGCCUUCAUGGCAGUAGCACUCCGUCAUGGGGUGUCGGGGGUCGGAGGUUCAAAUCCUCUCGUGCGACCA